AAGAAAAUUAAGGGACAGAAUCAGGGAACCAUUGAAAGAGAACGUAUUAAAGAGAGAAGCAUUUAACAAUCGAAGGUGCAAAAAGAUACCAAACCAGGGAAACUAAAAGAAGUUGAAAAGAAAGGAAAAGAAAAGAAAAUUAAGGGACAGAAUCAGGGAGCCAUUGAAAGAGGACGUAUUUAAGAGAGAAGCAUUUAAGAAUCGAAGUUGCAAAAAGAUACCAAACCAGGAAAAUGAAAGAAGUUGAAAAGAAAGGAAAAGAAAAGGAAAUGAAGGGAAAGAAGUAGAGGAAUUUUAUGAACGGCGGCAAAAAGAAACCUGAAGUAUAAAAGAGUGAAAAUGAAUAAUGAAUAAGGAAGAAGUUUGAAAUAUUAAAAUAGUAAGGGAAUAAAAGCUAGGAAAGGGAUGAAGAAGAAAAAGAAAGCAAAAACAAAAAAAAGGAAAAGUUGAAGAAGUUAAGGAGUAAAUGAGCAAAGGCUAAGAGAUGAAGAACGAACCAAAAGUGAAAAAGGAAGAAGAGCAAAAAUAAACAUCGAAGAAGGAAGAAAUUUGAAGUAUGCAAUAAAAGAAGGCGAUGAAGAAGGAGAAUGAAGCAAAAAGGAAAAUAUGAAAAUGGAGGAGACAAGGAAGAACUGAAGGAUUAAAAGUAAAGGAACAAAAAAUAACAGAGAUGAAGAAUGAAGAAAAAAAGGACGAUUCAAAAGAGGAGGCAAGGAAGAAACGAAGCAUGGGAAUGAAUAGUGAACUUAGAUGCAGAUGAAUAAAGCGAAAAAUAAAAGAGAAACGAAUGAAGUAGAAGGAGAAGGAGAUAAAGAAGAAAUGAAGGAUGGUGAUGAACAGUGAACUUAAGAUGCAGAAGAAGAAUAAAGCGGAAAAAAAAAAAAGGAUUGAAUGAAGUAGAAGGAGAUGAAGAAAAAAUGGAGGAUGGUGAUGAACAGUGAACUCUAAAAUGCAGAACAAGAAUGAAGCAAUAAAAAAAUAGGAAGUUAUAAAGUAAAAGGAGAAUGAGGGAAAGAAGAAAUGAAGGAUGGUGAUCAAUAGUGAACUUAAGAUGCAGAAGAAAAACGAAGAAAAAACGAAAAAAAAUAAAGGAAAAAAAUGAGGGAGCAAGGAAGAAAAGAAGGAUAGUGACGAACAGUGAACUUAAGAUGCAGAAGAAGAAUGAAGAAAAUACAAAAAAAGAAAGUAAUAAAGAAGGAGAAGUAGACGAGAAAGAAAUGAAGGAUGGUGAUGAACGGUGAACUUAAACAAGGCAAUUACCUGCGGCUCCCCUGCCUCAUUAACACCUGGCCAUUAUGGAAAUUACAAUUCUUUUAGUAAUUAACAAGACGCCAGCUGUGCCCGGGCAGGUGAGUUAGGGCGGCCAAGGGGAGGAGGAGGAGGAGGAGUUUGUUGAGAGAUCGGAAGAGGAAUCGGAUGAGCUCUUAAGAAAAAGGAGAGGAAAGGAAAAGGAAGAAGAAGAAGGGGAGAAGGAGGAAUAGGAUGAGCACUAAGAGAAAGAAUGGAAGAAGAAGGAGCAGAAGAAGAAGAAGAAGAAGAAGAAGAAGAAGAAGAAGAAGAAGAAGAAGAAGAAGAAGAAAAUGAAGAAGAAGAUGAAGAAGAAGAAGAAGAAAAUACAGUAUAGAGGAAAGAAAAAAGAGAAAGAAUAUGAGCUCUGUAAAGAAAGAAGGGGACAGAGAAUGAUGAAGAGAAGAAUUAAGAAGAAGAAAAAAACGAAAAUAAAGCUAAAGAUGAUAACGAUAAUCACUAAAAAUAAAGAAGAGAAUAAGGAAACAAAGAUAAAAGUAAUAAUAUAGAGGAAGAGGAGGCAUAGAAGUCGAAGAAACAAGCAGAAAAAAAUUAUAGAGAGGAAGGAAACGAAGUGAAGAUAAAUACAAAUAAAACCAAACACAAAACCAAACAGAAAACCAAACACAAAACCAAACAGAAAACCAAACACAAAACCAAACAGAAAACCAAACAGAAAACCAACACAGGCAAAUGAAAAGCCAGCGCACCGAAUUUCAGAUAGCCAGGUAACCCGUUGGCCCAUGGCGCUUUUUUUUUUUUACCUGUAAUAUAUAAAAAAAAGUACUUUCGUGGCUGCAUUUCUAAGAUACUUAUCCAAAUGAAUGUCUGAUUGGAUGAGGAAAUUGACUGAAGGAGUUAUUACGUGAGAGAUGGCGGGAUAGCGGGGAGUGGAUUGGGGAGGAAGAGGGGGAGGAAGGGGGAGGAGAGAGUGCUUGGGGAGAGAGAGGAGAACUGCUAGUGGAUUGGAGGUAGAGAUUAGCAGGAGGAGAGAAGGUGGGAAGAAUGGUGGAUGAGAAAACAGAGGAGGAUAAAGUAGAGAGUGGAUUGGGGGAAGGAAGAGGGGGAGGGAGUGGAGGAGAGGGAGAAGAAUUGGUGGUGGAUUGGAAGCUGAGAUUAGCAGGAGGAGAGGUGGGUGAACGGUGGAUGAGAGAGCAGUGGAGAAUGAGGCAUGGAAUAAAUGAUGAGGUGGAGAAAGGUGUCUAUGAGGGAAUAAGGAAGGUGGUGGAAUCAGGAUAGUGGAAGAGUGGAUAAAAGUGUAUAUGAGGGAAUAAGGAAGGUGGUGGAAUCAGGAUAGUGGAAGAGUGGAUAAAAGUGUAUAUGAGGGAAUAAGGAAGGUGGUGGAAUGAGGAUUGUGGAAGAGUGGAUAAAAGUGUAUAUGAGGGAAUAAGGAAGGUGGUGGAAUGAGGAUUGUGGAAGAGUGGAUAAAAGUGUAUAUGAGGGAAUAAGGAAGGUGGUGGAAUCAGGAUAGUGGAAGAGUGGAUAAAAGUGUAUAUGAGGGAAUAAGGAAGGUGGUGGAAUCAGGAUAGUGGAAGAGUGGAUAAAAGUGUAUAUGAGGGAACAAGGAAGGUGGUGGAAUGAGGAUAGUGGAAGAGUGGUGGAGAGAAGAGUAUAAUGAAACAUGGAACGAAUGAUGACAUGAAGAACACGUGAUAAUGUUAUGAGUAAAUGAGAAUCGGAUUGGUAGAGACAAUGAAGGUAAGAAGAAAGAAGGAAAAGAAAAGAAGAAAUAAGAAAAAGAUUAAGAUGAUCAUGACGAAGAGGAAGAAAAUAAAAGAAGAUAGGAAGGAAAAAAAUAAAAAUAAACGAUCAGGUGAAAGAAUGAGUUAGUGGGUGAGAGAAAAAUAAGAAAAGAGGGAAGGAGGAGGAGGAGGACAAGGAAGAGUAGAAAGAAGGAAAGUAAAAUAAAUAAACCAAAAAUAGAAGAAACAAUAGAUAAAAAAAGAGGUAGAAUUGGGAAAAGGAUCAGGUAUAGGGACGUGAAAUAAAAAAAAAAUCUGACUUGAAAGAAGAAGAGAAGGAGAAAAAAAAGACGAGGAGGAGGAGGACGAGGAGGAGGAGGAUUGAAGGAAUACAAUUUUGCUGAUAGACGGCUCUGCUUUUUAUCUUUUUUUUCUUUCUUCUGCUUGACUAGUUUGUGAAGAAUAUAACAGAUGACUCCUGCUUGAUCAGCCUGAGCGAUGGCGGCGGCGGUCGAGGAGGAGGGGGAGGAGGAGGAGGAGGAGGAGGAGGAGGAGGAAUAAUCUUGGCAUGCAGAAGAAUGAGUGAGAG